UCUAAAUAUUUUAUGAUUUCAAAUUUUAUUUUUAUUAUUAAAAUAAUUUUAAUCAUAUAGAUUAGAUGUUUUAUUUUUCAUACAAUUCAUGCUUUGUAUCAUAUAUAACAAAUCCUAGGGUUUCAACAUCUAGGAUUUUUCAGAAAAGUAAGUUUUCUCCUUUCGCUUUCUUCUUCAUAGGAUCUCACAGUGACACCCCU
rnacentral:lncRNA from 1 species